GACGAACGCUGGCGGCGUGCUUAACACAUGCAAGUCGAACGGUAAGGCCCUUCGGGGUACACGAGUGGCGAACGGGUGAGUAACACGUGGGUGAUCUGCCCUGCACUUCGGGAUAAGCCUGGGAAACUGGGUCUAAUACCGGAUAGGCCUCCUGGCUUCAUGGUUGGGGGUGGAAAGCUUUUGCGGUGGGGGAUGGGCCCGCGGCCUAUCAGCUUGUUGGUGGGGUAAUGGCCUACCAAGGCGACGACGGGUAGCCGGCCUGAGAGGGUGACCGGUCACACUGGGACUGAGAUACGGCCCAGACUCCUACGGGAGGCAGCAGUGGGGAAUAUUGCACAAUGGGCGCAAGCCUGAUGCAGCGACGCCGCGUGAGGGAUGACGGCCUUCGGGUUGUAAACCUCUUUCAGCUAUGACGAAGCGCAAGUGACGGUAGUAGCAGAAGAAGGACCGGCCAACUACGUGCCAGCAGCCGCAGUAA
rnacentral:rRNA from 1 species